CAGAUGCAGGAAGAUAUUUAGUAUCCGAUUUCUGAAGGAGCCAUGUCAAAAAGAGGAGAUUACCCUCCAACUUUAUUUUCUUAAUAAAUAAAGAAGAGUUUAUAAUAAUAUAUAGAAGAAAAGAAAAUAAUAUAUAGAAGAAAAGAAGAGUAUAUAAUAAAAUGGAGAAGUUGCCAAGCUCCUACUCAAUAUCUUCGAGUUCAGUAUCGAUGGAAUUAAGUCCAAACCCCUUAGCCCAACAAAUCUGGCUCUUAAUGAAUCUUUCAGUCUCAAGCACUACUACUCUUCAAGGUUGAACACAAAAUACAAUUUAUUUUGAAGUAUUUUCUGAUCACAAUCUGUCCUUCUAGCCUCCAUGUUAUAGGUUCUGCAACACUGCAUAGCACUGCCCUUCAAUCUUUAUCAUAAUGAAGUCUAUCCUUCAGCUCCAGACCUUAUCCCCACCAUAGUUGGAAUACUUCCAUUCAAAUUUGCUGGAGCACAGGGUCUGCAUCACAGCAAUGGCAUAUCAUCACUGCCUGGAAUAUUAUAUGUACAGGUACAAGUCUUAGCUUUCCCACCAGACUGAAACUCAAUGGAAAGCAGAAGUCAUAUCUUGCAGGGCACAGUACCUAACACAUUGCCUUGUUAGGGGAGGGAGGUGUAAUUAACUGAAUAUUCAUUGAGUGAAUGAAUUAAUGAAACCAAUAAACAUAAAUGCAGAGCUAUAAUUUUUUAAAAAAAGUAAUUUUUUUUUUUUUUUUUAUACUCU
rnacentral:lncRNA from 10 species